rnacentral:rRNA from 1 species
AUUGAACGCUGGCGGCAUGCCUUACACAUGCAAGUCGAACGGCAGCACGGGUGCUUGCACCUGGUGGCGAGUGGCGAACGGGUGAGUAAUACAUCGGAACAUGUCCUGUAGUGGGGGAUAGCCCGGCGAAAGCCGGAUUAAUACCGCAUACGAUCUACGGAUGAUAGCGGGGGACCUUCGGGCCUCGCGCUAUAGGGUUGGCCGAUGGCUGAUUAGCUAGUUGGUGGGGUAAAGGCCUACCAAGGCGACGAUCAGUAGCUGGUCUGAGAGGACGACCAGCCACACUGGGACUGAGACACGGCCCAGACUCCUACGGGAGGCAGCAGUGGGGAAUUUUGGACAAUGGGCGAAAGCCUGAUCCAGCAAUGCCGCGUGUGUGAAGAAGGCCUUCGGGUUGUAAAGCACUUUUGUCCGGAAAGAAAUCCUUGGCCCUAAUACGGUCGGGGGAUGACGGUACCGGAAGAAUAAGCACCGGCUAACUACGUG